GAGGAGGCCGCGUCCCGGGAGGGUCCCCACCAUGGCCUGGACGGUGCUUCUGCUCGGGCUGCUGGCUUAUGGCUCAGGGGUAGAAGCUCAGACUGUGAUCCAGGAACCGUCGCUGUCAGUGUCUCCAGGAGGGACGGUCACCCUCACCUGUGGACUGAGCUCUGGGUCAGUCACUACAUACAACAAACCCAGCUGGUACCAGCAGACCCCAGGCCAUGCUCCCAGAAAUGUUAUCUACAUCACAAAUACCCGCCCCUCUGGGGUCCCUGAUCGCUUCUCUGGCUCCAUCUCUGGGAACAAAGCCACCCUCACCAUCACGGGGGCCCAGCCCGAGGACGAGGCUGACUAUCACUGCUUACUGUACAAGGGCAGUGGGGAUGGAGGAACCUGUGUCCUCGCCCUGGAGGAGGAGACCCGGGAUGCGGAGGCGGGAGCCCUGAGUGCAGAUCUGGGCUCAGAACAGCAGCAGGAAGGGCUGAGUGGCCAGCACUCCAGCCGUGAGCGAUCCUGA